rnacentral:lncRNA from 1 species
CUUUGAAAGAAAGUAGGGCAGUGGAGGUAGGGGGAAUCCUCUGAGAACAGCCUGCUCCUAAUUGAAGAAAGUGAAAAUCCUCCAAACAUUGCAGGCACAGUUGAUGGAUCAUCCCUCAGUUUUCUUCCAUCUGGUCUGUGGCCUCUUACAGAAACCAAGACAAGACAAAUGAAGUGUACCUGACACAGGAAAUGAGGGUAGUCAUUUGGGUGAUAGAGCACCAGCUCCCCAUAAAAUGCUUGGAGUGAGGUGGGCAGUGAAACAUAAGGCGCCAGUCACAGUGCUCGUAUCUGACUUCAUGCUGGUGCUUAUUAAAAUACAGCAUCGGGUCAUCUGAGAAGCAAUUUGAUAAGGAGAAAAACCUGAGGAGCUCCAACACUUAAAGAGCAGGCAAGAUUUAUGAUCUUUGAUGUCUCUCCUUUCCUAGUCUUGAUGUUAUUUCUUUGGAGACCAAGUCACAUGGGAACCUCUUUGCCUACCUUCCCUUUCAGGAUCCAAAUAUCCCACUCCAAAUAUUCAGAAGCAAAAUGUGAAGAAGCUGAAAAUGAUGACAAUCUAUGCCUGAUGUGAGACCCAAAAAGAAAUCUGACCUGGGGAGGUGUCUGAUCCAGGUAUUUUUUUCUCUUCUGAAGCCCAAGUGCAACCCUUCAUCCUCAAGUCUUGG